rnacentral:lncRNA from 1 species
CUCCCCCACAUGCUUCCUAAGAUCCUUAUCUACUAAAAUACCUAUCCCAUUCCUAUGUCUCACGCUCCCCGAGUACCACAACUUAUACCCAUCCAUAGCUCUCGCCUUAGUGCCUACCCAUUUAAUUUUCUAGACCCGCGUUAUUCUAAACCUCCUCUUUCUAAGAAUUUUCACCAGCUCUAUAGACUUACCUUGAAGCAUCCCUAUGUUCUAGGACCCAACUCUUAACGUAGAAGGACCCUUAUCCCACUUAGCACUACUCUCUCUCACCCCCAACCCCAAACUCGCACCUUGACCCGAUCUCCGCCUCGACCCAAACCUAUGAAAUGACC